GACCAUGUGUGCCUCUCUAUUGUUUCUGCUGGCCCUACUUCCGGUUGUCUCGUCAUUAGUAAGCCCUGUCAGCGAGUAUGUACGUGUCCCGGAGAAGUUUAUCGCCCCAAUUCCCUCCCACUCUCUGAAAGUGGAGAAAGAUGUUAGCUUAGAGAUGUGUGCCGCCAAAUGCACGAUCUACUUCCGAACGCGGCAGUUUCCCUGUUAUGCGUUCGAGUACACCACCGGAAGUAAAAUGUGUGUCUACACCAAUAUGACAACAUUAUUGGUAAAAAACGGCUAUCUAGGCCUGCACGAAAACAGGGGUGUGGAUUUCUACGAAAGAUCAAAAGUCUCCUACAAAAAUCUCUUCCGUAAAAUCCCUAAUUCCGCACUAAGCGAGCAAAGCAGCUACUACCACAUUAAACAGAAUUCUAGCCUGGAGGAGUGCUCUUUCCACUGUGUGAUAAGCCACUCCCACACCUGCAUGUCAUUCUCUUAUAGCCACACCUCCGGCACGUGUGGACUUAGUAACAUGGUAUAUACAGGUCAAUCACACGGGGUCUCCUUGAUGCACACCACUCUCUAUGAUCAUUAUCAGUAUUUCAAUGCAUGGCCUUGUAACGCCACCCUUGCUUCUAACUACGCCCCUCACGCUAUAGCCUCUCUCAAGUACCCGUAUAUGGCCAUGUUGGAUCUCAACUGUCACGUGACCAUUCAGGCACCAGACGACAAUAAAAUAACCUUGACCUUCCCAACUGUCUAUUUCAAAUCGAGCGUUUGCUACCAGUCUGGGAGUGGGAUAACAGUGUAUGAUGGUUUGGACGAGAAAGCCCCGGUGAUUUCUAGAGUUUGCGCCGCCACGACGAACGCCUACACGGUGAAUUCUUCAUCCAGUAUUCUCCAUAUUAGAUUUCAAGCAAAACAGACGGCUAUGGCAUUUCAAGGAGUAUAUGAAUUCAAUGAACCAGAAAAACCUAGAAACCCGUGUGAAAACAACAACUGCAGAAACGGAGGAACUUGUCAACCAUUGGGCCUCGAUUACAACUGCGCAUGCGUCCCCGGAUUCACAGGGGUAUUCUGUGAAACGAAUGUGGACGAUUGCGCAAGCAGUCCAUGUUACUUUGGAGGGACAUGUGUCGACGGUGUGAAUGAUUAUUCCUGUAUCUGUGUGAAGAAUUUUACCGGAAGUCGUUGUGAGAGAUAUUUGGGGAUGUGCGCGAACAACCCAUGUAUACAUGGUAUCUGCUACACGACCGGAAGACAAAGCUACGCAUGUCAUUGCGAUCCGAAUUUCAUAGGGAAGAAUUGUGAUGUCCGAUUCCAUCCAUGCUUAAGGGCGCCAUGCAAACAUGGAUCUUGUGUUGAUUCCGGUAAUGACUAUCGCUGUGUCUGCGCUGCAGGCUUUACCGGGAAAGACUGUGACGUUCAAGACGAUAAUCCGUGUACACCAAAUCCAUGUGUUCGUGGAGAUUGUAUGAUAUAUGCGCCUAACCAUACCUAUGCCUGCAUCUGCGAAUCGGGUUUCACCGGAAAAUUAUGCAAUUACGUCAUCAAUCAUUGCGAAGGCGUAGAUUGUGGCUACGGUCAUUGCGUGUCUGAUCAAACUGGAUACAGGUGUCUUUGUGAUAAUCUGUACGACGGUGUCGAUUGUAGAAGGCCUCGCCUCUGCCAAAGCGUGGAUUGCGGAAACGGGACUUGCGUCAUGAACCAUACGUCACCACCUGGUGUUCACUGCAUGUGCGACCAAGGAUACGAUGGAGAGCGGUGUAAUCACAAAGCAAAUUCCUGCAAGAAUUCACCUUGUGUUCACGGCAGCUGUCAAGAUGGCGGAUAUAUCUGCGUCUGCGAUAAAGGAUAUGCAGGUCCACUCUGUGAUGAGGAAAUAAACCCGUGUCGUGACGCGGACUGUGGGUACGGAAUGUGUGAAGCCACUGCUAACUUCACCUACCGCUGCAUCUGCGCCCGUGGCUUCUCAGGGCCACAAUGUAAACAAACUGCAACAACCAAAGUUUCGGUUACACCAAAUCCUUGCCAGAACCACCCGUGCCAAAAUGGUGGAGUGUGUAAACCUCGGGGAAGUGGUCAGUAUGUGUGUCUGUGUGGCCAGACUGACGGGGUGUUCUACAGCGGGAGACACUGUGAGGAGUCCCACAAGUACUGCGAUUCCACUCCUUGUAGAUUUGGUAGAUGUGUACCGCACCAUGAUUCUUACAGGUGUGUUCUACAAGGAUCCAGUAAUGUAACAGCCGUGCCGAUCUCUUCAUCACCAGGUAACAUUUCUUAUUUACUCUUAUUGACUAUUAUUUGUCACUAGGUAACAUUUCUCAUUUACUAUUAUUGAUUAUUUACUAUUAUUCGUCACUAGGUAACAUUUCUUAUUUACUCUUAUUGACUAUUAUUUGUCACUAGGUAACAGUUCUCAUUUACUCUUAUUGACUAUUAUUCGUCACUAGGUAACAUUUCUCAUUUACUAUUAUUGAUUAUUUACUAUUAUUCGUCACUAGGUAACAUUUCUUAUUUACUCUUAUUGACUAUUAUUCGUCACUAGGUAACAGUUCUCAUUUACUAUUAUUGAUUAUUUACUAUUAUUCGUCACUAGGUAACAUUUCUUAUUUACUCUUAUUGACUAUUAUUCGUCACUAGGUAACAUUUCUUAUUUACUCUUAUUGACUAUUAUUCGUCACUAGGUAACAUUUCUUAUUUACUCUUAUUGACUAUUAUUUGUCACUAGGUAACAUUUCUUAUUUACUCUUAUUGACUAUUAUUCGUCACUAGGUAACAUUUCUUAUUUACUCUUAUUGACUAUUAUUCGUCACUAGGUAACAUUUCUUAUUUACUCUUAUUGACUAUUAUUUGUCACUAGGUAACAGUUCUCAUUUACUCUUAUUGACUAUUAUUCGUCACUAGGUAACAGUUCUCAUUUACUAUUAUUGAUUAUUUACUAUUAUUCGUCACUAGGUAACAUUUCUUAUUUACUCUUAUUGACUAUUAUUCGUCACUAGGUAACAGUUCUCAUUUACUAUUAUUGAUUAUUUACUAUUAUUCGUCACUAGGUAACAUUUCUUAUUUACUCUUAUUGACUAUUAUUCGUCACUAGGUAACAUUUCUUAUUUACUCUUAUUGACUAUUAUUCGUCACUAGGUAACAUUUCUUAUUUACUCUUAUUGACUAUUAUUUGUCACUAGGUAACAUUUCUUAUUUACUCUUAUUGACUAUUAUUCGUCACUAGGUAACAUUUCUUAUUUACUCUUAUUGCCUAUUAUUCGUCACUAGGUAACAUUUCUUAUUUACUCUUAUUGACUAUUAUUCGUCACUAGGUAACAUUUCUCAUUUACUCUUAUUGACUAUUAUUCGUCACUAGGUAACAAUUCUUAUUUAUUUUUAUUAAAAGAGAUAUUCAUUUAUUAUGUUUAUUAUAACAAUUGAUAAGAUAGUAGAAUACAGUUUUAGCUUUGAUAUAUAUAUAAUGUAUGUUUGCUCUCUCUCUCUCUCUCUCUCUCUCUCUCUCUCUCUCUCUCUGUGCAAGACUAUCGCGAAAUCGCGUGCGUGUUUUCAUGACAACAUGAGGUAAGUGAUAUUUACUAUCAUAUAUAUAUAUAUAUAUAUAUAUAUAUAUAUAUAUAUCUUAUUUACUCUUAUUGACUAUAUACUAUUGUUCUUCACUAGGUAACAUUUCUCAUUUACUUUUAUUGAUUACGUCACUAGGUAUUUACUAUAUAUAUACAUCAGUAUAUAUAUAUAUAUAUAUAUAUAUAUAUAUACAAGAUUUUUAAAUUUGAUAAAAGAUAAUUGAUUCCCAUGUUUUAUACGUGUAGUUGAUGAUUUUACUUUGUUUUUGAAAAAAAAAAAUUUCCUGCUGGAUAAACUUCUAAAUACACAAUGAUGUGUGAGGUCAGCGUGCGUUCUGGACGACCUUCAAGGCUGUAAAACGUUGAGUUGUGGAUUGGAGAGUCAAUAUUUCGGAGAUCCAACCUGUGGAUUUAAUUUGUAAUUUCAGUUGUUCACGAAUUCUACUCACAUAAGUUGUUUGUUAUUUUUGUUUCAUUGGAGAAGCAAUUAAAACCCUUUGUCCUUAUU